CCGCAUUUGAAACUGGCAGGCUAGAGUCUUGUAGAGGGGGGUAGAAUUUCAGGUGUAGCGGUGAAAUGCGUAGAGAUCUGAAGGAAUACCAGUGGCGAAGGCGGCCCCCUGGACAAAGACUGACGCUCAGAUGCGAAAGCGUGGGUAGCAAACAGGAUUAGAUACCCUGGUAGUCCACGCCGUAAACGCUGUCUACUUGGAGGUUGAGGUUUAAGACUUUGGCUUUCGGCGCUAACGCAUUAAGUAGACCGCCUGGGGAGUACGGCCGCAAGGUUAAAACUCAAAUGAAUUGACGGGGGCCCGCACAAGCGGUGGAGCAUGUGGUUUAAUUCGAUGCAACGCGAAGAACCUUACCUACUCUUGACAUCCAGAGAACUUUCCAGAGAUGGAUUGGUGCCUUCGGGAACUCUGAGACAGGUGCUGCAUGGCUGUCGUCAGCUCGUGUUGUGAAAUGUUGGGUUAAGUCCCGCAACGAGCGCAACCCUUAUCCUUGUUUGCCAGCACGUAAUGGUGGGAACUCCAGGGAGACUGCCGGUGAUAAACCGGAGGAAGGUGGGGACGACGUCAAGUCAUCAUGGCCCUUACGAGUAGGGCUACACACGUGCUACAAUGGCAGAUACAGAGGGCAGCGAAGCUGCGAAGUGGAGCGAAUCCCUUAAAGUUUGUCGUAGUCCGGAUUGGAGUCUGCAACUCG
rnacentral:rRNA from 1 species